AUGAAAUAUAAUAAAACAAAAGACUACAAGUCUGUGUAAAAAAACAAUAACAUACACUCAAGUGCACACUGACACCCAGAUACAAACAAACACAAAGAUACACACAUUGAUAGAUACACAGACACAAACACAGAUACACACAGGUCCACACUGACACCCAGAUACAAACAAACACAAAGAUACACACACUGAUAGAUACACAGACACAAACACAGAUACACACACUGAUAGAUACACAAACACA